AUGAGUGUUAGGUGUCUGGAGUAAAUCUGGGUGCCGCAGCUAACGCAUUAAACACUCCGCCUGGGGAGUACGCACGCAAGUGUGAAACUCAAAGGAAUUGACGGGGACCCGCACAAGCAGCGGAGCAUGUGGUUUAAUUCGAAGCAACGCGAAGAACCUUACCAAGUCUUGACAUAUUUUGGAAACACUUAGAGAUAAGUGCCUAUAUCUUCGGAUAACUGAAAUACAGGUGGUGCAUGGCUGUCGUCAG
rnacentral:rRNA from 1 species